GACGAACGUCUGGCGGCGUGCUUAACACAUGCAAGUCGAACGGUGAACUCAGAGCUUGCUCUGGGGGAUCAGUGGCGAACGGGUGAGUAACACGUGAGUAACCUGCCCUUCACUCUGGGAUAACUCCGGGAAACCGGUGCUAAUACUGGAUAUGACCCGUGCGGGCAUCUGCAACGGGUGGAAAGUUUUUCGGUGAGGGAUGGACUCGCGGCCUAUCAGCUUGUUGGUGGGGUAAUGGCCUACCAAGGCGACGACGGGUAGCCGGCCUGAGAGGGCGACCGGCCACACUGGGACUGAGACACGGCCCAGACUCCUGCGGGAGGCAGCAGUGGGGGAUAUUGCACAAUGGGCGAAAGCCUGAUGCAGCGACGCCGCGUGAGGGAUGACGGCCUUCGGGUUGUAAACCUCUUUCAGCAGGGAAGAAGCGGAAGUGACGGUACCUGCAGAAGAAGCACCGGCUAACUACGUGCCAGCAGCCGCGGUAAUACGUAGGGUGCGAGCGUUGUCCGGAAUUAUUGGGCGUAAAGAGCUUGUAGGCGGUUUGUCGCGUCUGCUGUGAAAACUCGGGGCUUAACCCCGAGCUUGCAGUGGGUACGGGCAGACUAGAGUAUGGUAGGGGAGACUGGAAUUCCUGGUGUAGCGGUGGAAUGCGCAGAUAUCAGGAGGAACACCGAUGGCGAAGGCAGGUCUCUGGGCCAUAACUGACGCUGAGAAGCGAAAGCGUGGGGAGCGAACAGGAUUAGAUACCCUGGUAGUCCACGCCGUAAACGUUGGGCGCUAGGUGUGGGACUCAUUCCACGAGUUCCGUGCCGCAGCUAACGCAUUAAGCGCCCCGCCUGGGGAGUACGGCCGCAAGGCUAAAACUCAAAGGAAUUGACGGGGGCCCGCACAAGCGGCGGAGCAUGCGGAUUAAUUCGAUGCAACGCGAAGAACCUUACCAAGGCUUGACAUAUACCGGAAACACCCAGAGAUGGGUGCCCCGCAAGGUCGGUAUACAGGUGGUGCAUGGUUGUCGUCAGCUCGUGUCGUGAGAUGUUGGGUUAAGUCCCGCAACGAGCGCAACCCUCGUUCUAUGUUGCCAGCGCGUUAUGGCGGGGACUCAUAGGAGACUGCCGGGGUCAACUCGGAGGAAGGUGGGGAUGACGUCAAAUCAUCAUGCCCCUUACGUCUUGGGCUUCACGCAUGCUACAAUGGCCAGUACAAAGGGCUGCGAUACCGCGAGGUGGAGCGAAUCCCAAAAAACUGGUCUCAGUUCGGAUUGGGGUCUGCAACUCGACCCCAUGAAGUCGGAGUCGCUAGUAAUCGCAGAUCAGCAACGCUGCGGUGAAUACGUUCCCGGGCCU
rnacentral:rRNA from 1 species